CCCGCCAGAGCCCCGCAAGCUCCUUCCCUCUCCGUCUUAAGCGGUGAACGCACACACCUCCCAGAGCCUCACAAUUAGCUGCAUUCAUCAGCUCGCUGUGGUCCUCUCUCGGAGGAGCAGUAAGUGAAAGGGAAAGACAUGACGCCCAGGAACAAAGCCAGAGGGUAAACACUGUUUCCCGUGGUGACGGGGACAAGCAUCGAGGACAGACAGCGGCUGGCUGCCAGCGCCGGACACUUACCAUGGUUUGUCCCUUGAUCCUUUCGCAGAAAAGACUGUGUGCUGUUUGCUGCUGGAGUGAUGUCCUGGAGUUGGAGGGUGGAGACGCUGGAGAGGGAGAAGGUCUGCACAUUGAACCGUGUCUUCUCUCUACGGAGGGAGACAGAAUGGAGCUCAGCACAUCCUCGGUAGCAGUUCCGCAAAUGACCAGUUGAAGGAACAAGUUACAGAUGAGAGAAUAUUCAUCAAAACUUGAAGCUAGUCCU